GACGUCAAAUGCAACUAAGUAGACAGACAGAGAGCCAGCCAAUGCCGGAGCGAGCGGCAGCAAUAACCUCCCAUUUCCUGUGUUGGAUCAUAGGGAGUCUAUCCUGAUAACCACCAACCGCUUGAAUAAUCCCAGAGGUUGUCAUUAUUAUAUAAAAUCCUAAUUUGUGUGUAUUUAAUGUGGUAAACAGGGUUUGUACACAAAUAACACCUAAAAAACUACUGGGUAAAGCAUCACAUGCUCAUGUUUAUAGAUAAAGAAGGACGUCGCUCGAUUUGUUACGUGCGCUCUUUUGGGGGUAACUUGUCAAGGCACGGAAUCAGAGGGGUCCUACAUUAGACAAAUGAAUUGAACUGGAGAAUAGACACAAACCGAAAAGAAACCCGAUUUGAUAGGGGACAGAGGAGAAAGGGGGGAUUCAGCUAGCAACGAACCUUAAGACGAAGGAGGAUCAUAGAUAAAUAGACGGAGUUGAAUUUUUCCCCCGUCAUCUCUAACUCGUCCAAAGAGCUAUAGGUUCUUCCUGCUCCCUCUCACCACCUUUUCAGUGUCCAUCCUCGGUGCGCAACGGGUUGCUCCAAUCCCACACUGUCUCAAUGAAGGAGGCCGAUGCAAUCAAGCUCUUCAUCGGGCAGAUACCCCGAAAUCUUGAGGAGAAGGACUUGAAACCCAUCUUUGAACAGUUCGGGAAGAUCUAUGAGUUGACGGUGAUAAAGGACAAAUACACGGGGAUGCACAAAGGCUGUGCCUUCCUGACAUACUGCGAACGAGAGUCUGCACUCAAAGCUCAGAAUGCACUGCACGAGCAGAAGACGCUACCAGGGAUGAACCGGCCCAUUCAAGUGAAGCCAGCAGACAGCGAGGGCAGAGGGGAAGACAGGAAGCUGUUUGUUGGCAUGCUGGGGAAGCAGCAGUCGGAUGCCGACGUGAGGAAGAUGUUUGAGGAGCUUGGGAGCAUUGAAGAGUGCACAGUGCUCCGCGGGCCUGACGGCACUAGCAAAGGCUGUGCCUUUGUGAAGUACCAGAACAACGUAGAGGCUGCGGCAGCCAUCAGCACUCUGCAUGGGAGCCGCACUCUACCGGGUGCCUCCUCCAGCCUGGUGGUGAAGUUCGCCGACUCUGAGAAAGAGCGAGGGAUAAGGCGCAUGCAGCAGGUGGCGUCCCAGCUGGGGGUCAUCAGUCCCAUGACCUUACACCUCGGGGCUUACAAUGCCUACACACAGGUACUGGUGCAGCAGCAGGCUCUGGUGGCCCAGUCGGCGUAUUUGUCUCCUGUAUCCACCAUCACCAUGCAGCAGUUGGCUGCCCUCAACCCCAGCAGCCUCAUGGCCACGCCCAUCGCAUCACUCACUACCUCAGGGACCAGCACUCCGCCCACCAUGGCAGCCACACCAGUGCCUGCUCUGCCUCCACCACUCAGCUACCCUCCAGUGCCAGCUCCACCCAAUGGACAGUCAGCAUCUGAAACCCUGUACACCAAUGGAAUUCAUUCUUACCAAGCUCAGAGUCCAGUUUUGGAUCCUAUUCAGCAAGCGUACGCAGGGAUGCAGCACUACACAGGUGGGACAGUAGUGAGUCCGCUUGAGUCCUUAAAAUUUCCCAGAGGAAAUUUUAGGUUUGAAAUGCCCUCUCAGCAGUCCUUAAUGUUUACUUAUGCGAACACACCCACAGCAACAUAUCCUGCUGCCUAUGGAAUGGUGGGGCAGCCAUUCCCACACCAACACACAAUGCUUGCACAGCAACAUCAGCAGCCUCAGCAACUGCAGCAACGAGAAGGGCCUGAGGGGUGUAACAUCUUCAUCUAUCACCUGCCUCAGGAGUUUACUGACUCAGAGAUGCUGCAAAUGUUCAUCCCCUUCGGCAACGUCAUCUCAGCAAAGGUCUUUGUUGACCGUGCCACCAAUCAGAGCAAGUGCUUUGGUUUUGUGAGUUUUGACAACCCGUCCAGUGCUCAGACAGCAAUUCAGGCCAUGAAUGGUUUCCAGAUUGGCAUGAAGAGACUCAAGGUGCAGCUUAAGAGGCCCAAGGAUGCCAACCGACCCUACUAAAUGAGUCAAGACUGUCCUGUCCAUACAUAUAUCGUGGAGACUACGUGGCUAUGGUUGCCUAGCAACCGCUAAAAACCCCUUCCUCUCACAGCGUUGGAAGAUAUGAGUUCUAUCAAGAAACUACUUCCAGCAUUUUGGUUUCGCCCAAACCGUAUAGCAAAGGAGCAACAACACUUCUCGAAAAAUAAGAUCAAAUAUAUGUAUCAUCUAAAAAUCAGCAACAACAGAAUAAAACAUAUGUGGUGGGUGGUUCGGAGUACACAUACCAUAGCACAGCUGGAUUCAGUCAUUAUGUACAGUACCAGUCAAAUGUUUGGACACACCUACUCAUUCACGUUUUUUCUUUAUUCUUGCUAUUUUCUACAUUGUAGAAUAAUGUUGAAGUCAUCAAAACUAUGAAAUAACACAUGAAAUCCGGUAGUAACCAAAAAAGUGUUUUAUAUUUGAGAUUUUUCAAAGUAGCCACCGUUUACCUUGAUGACAGCUUUGCACACUCUUGGCAUUCUCUCAACCAGCUUCAUGAGGUAGUCACCUGGAAUGCAUUUCAAUUAACAUGUGUAUCUUGUUAAAAGUUCAUUUGUGGAAUUUCUUUCCUUUUGUCAUUUGUGUUGUGACAAGGUAGGGGUGGUAUUCAGAAGAUAGCCCUAUUUGGUAAAAGACCAAGUCCAUAUUAUGGCAAGGACAGUUCAAAUAAGAAAUUAUAGUCCAUCAUUACUUUAAGACAUGAAGGUCAGUCAAUCGGGAAAAUGUCAAGAACUUUGAAAGUUUCUUCAAGUGCAGUUGCAAAAACCAUCAAGCGCUAUGAUGAAACUGGCUCUCAUGAGGACUGCCACAGGAAAGGAAGAUCCAGAGUUACCUCAGCUGCAUAGGAUAAGUUCAUUAGAGUUAACUGCACCUCAGAUUGCAGCCCAAAUAAAUGCAUUUUGAUGUCUUCACUGUUAUUCUACAAUGUAAAAAUAGAAAAAUUAAGAACAACCCUUGAAUGUGUAGGUGUGUCCAAACUUUUGACUGCUACUGUACAAACUGUACUAUCAGAUACAAGGUCUACAUGAAAAAGCAUAUCACUUAUUCUAAUGAACAGGGUUUCACUGAAUAGUGUGGUUUGUGGUCCAUAACUUAAGAGGGAAGGGCAAUGUAUGGGAUGGAGAAGUGGGAUGGUAACCUUAUUGGGGGGGUAAAUGCUAUUUUGUAUGAUUACCAUUGGUCGAAUUGGUAUGUAGAUUUAGUUUAUUAUUUUAAAUUAAAGACGAGGAGUAAUUAAGCAAGAAGAACAAUCAACUUCUUCUCACUGUACAUAUCUUUGUUUUAAAUGGAGUCAAAUAAUGAAAAAAUAUGUAAGUUAUUACAACCACUACUAUUGUUAUUGGCAUAGGGGUGAGAGGGAUGGUAAUUGGGUGGAAUUUUUGUAUCUUAAUUUUUUACUUUUAAUGUAUUUGUUAUGCAAUUGAAGGGGGAGAUAUGGCUAUUUUUUAUUUUAGAAAAUAGAAUAUUCCUAUGGUCUACAGUACAAGACUAUGGAUACACGUAUUGUAGAAUUUGUAAUUACAUAAAUGUAAUUAUCAAAAUCACAAUUGUUUCAUUAUUUAUUCUCUAAAAUUGCUGUUUUAAAACAUAUGUCUUUAAGAAAAAUAAAGUACAAUUUCGAAAAUUAUGUGUGCCUGGUGUGUAACAGAGAGCUGUGGGUUUUUAUAUAUACAGUUGCGGCCAAAUAUAUA